rnacentral:rRNA from 1 species
AUUGAACGCUGGCGGCAGGCUUAACACAUGCAAGUCGAGCGGAGAUGAGGUGCUUGCACCUUAUCUUAGCGGCGGACGGGUGAGUAAUGCUUAGGAAUCUGCCUAUUAGUGGGGGACAACAUUCCGAAAGGAAUGCUAAUACCGCAUACGUCCUACGGGAGAAAGCAGGGGAUCUUCGGACCCUGCGCUAAUAGAUGAGCCUAAGUCGGAUUAGCUAGUUGGUGGGGUAAAGGCCUACCAAGGCGACGAUCUGUAGCGGGUCUGAGAGGAUGAUCCGCCACACUGGGACUGAGACACGGGCCAGACUCCUACGGGAGGCAGCAGUGGGGAAUAUUGGACAAUGGGGGGAACCCUGAUCCAGCCAUGCCGCGUGUGUGAAGAAGGCCUUAUGGUUGUAAAGCACUUUAAGCGAGGAGGAGGCUACUGAGACUAAUACUCUUAGAUAGUGGACGUUACUCGCAGAAUAAGCACCGGCUAACUCUGUGCCAGCAGCCGCCGCCGUAA